CCGUGAUCCAAGAUGGCCGACCGGGGAGACCUGUCAGCGGUCUUCUUGAGCCCUCGGAUCGGUCCGAGGUAGUCCCUUCAGUCUGAAAUAAAAUAAAAUGUCCAGAAUAACUAAAAAUAGCAACAUUGUGACCUUAUUCACUAACUACGGCCAUUUACCCACAUAUAAGUGAUUUCUUCGUUUGUUACACGCCGAACACGAAGUCCAACUGAUGCCGCCAUCUUGGCCGUGAAGCCUUUUCGACUGGACCCUAGCCACACAGGCAGACCGAAAAACGCGGCCUCUUCAAUCGACCCAGAGAUCUAUCGGCCCAGCGAUCCAUCGACCCAGCAAACCAUCGACCCAGAUAUUCAUCGGCCUAGCGAUCCAUUGGCCCAGCAAUCCAUCGACCCAGAGAUCCAUCGGCCCAGCGAACCAUCGACCCAGAUAUUCAUCGGCCUAGCGAUCCAUCGACCCAGCGAUCCAUCAACCCAACGGUCUAGUGAUCCAACGGUCUAGCGAUUUAAAGAUAUGCGGAUCUAGCGUUCCAUCGAGUCAGUUUCUCCUGAGAUAACUUAUGCAGUUGAUUGAGAGGCAUAACCACGGAUGCAUUGGGAGAACUCCAACAUUUGACCUCAUUCACCCAAAUGCGAUUCGUUUGCCACAAGCAGCAAGCGGGGCGAACUCUGCACAUCAUCACCACCCCUGACAGCAAGGGAAAAGCCGUCGUGGACUUCUUCACCGCGAAGACAAACAACUUCCCACGUGCCUGCGACUCCUUCACCAAGGGCGCCACAGACAACUCGAUGCUAAGCGGUCGGUGUGCGAGAUGGGGCAGAGACGCAAGCGGCGACUACCAUGUGGGAGUCUGGGGAGAAACAGACCGGUUGGCCCCGGAUAGGAGGAUGUAUGACCAUGCGAUCUUUGACAAUGGCUUUAUUUAUUUGUCGGUUAUAAAAAAUUGCGACGACAACUUAAAUCAAGUGACAGACGGAGACUUUUGGAAGAUAUUUGUACGCUGAUUUUUCUAAAAUUCGCUUAAAUGAAUUGACGCGAAAAAAAGUGCCGCGAAAAUGGGCAAGCACAGAGAGAUGCUUUGGAAAAGACUAAAACAUAAAAAAUCGUUUAAUAAACUUUAUGUAUACUAUUCAUUUUUAUCAAUUCAUUAUCAUCUAUACGAAACUUGCAUACCGUACAGAGUACCCUCGGUAUUAAUGCCGCAACAGCUAGCUGAAUACCAUUCAAUACUGUAGCUACGGAGAAGCAUGACAUCUAGAUGUGGCUACAGAGUAGGUAUAACGCCACACCCUGUCCUGUACCCUAAUCCAUCUACGCAAUGUACAUUGCACCGUACAUCGCUAUAAAAAAAGACUUUGGCGGGCGCGGAUCCAGGUAAAAGCCUGACCUGUUCACGAAAACAAAAACGCAAUAAACAGAAUAAAUACA